GUAACAAGGUCUCCGUUGGUGAACCAGCGGAGGGAUCAUUACUGAGUUUACGCUCUAUAACCCUUUGUGAACAUACCUAUAACUGUUGCUUCGGCGGGUAGGGUCUCCGCGACCCUCCCGGCCUCCCGCCUCCGGGCGGGUCGGCGCCCGCCGGAGGAUAAACCAAACUCUGAUUUAACGACGUUUCUUCUGAGUGGUACAAGCAAAUAAUCAAAACUUUUAACAACGGAUCUCUUGGUUCUGGCAUCGAUGAAGAACGCAGCGAAAUGCGAUAAGUAAUGUGAAUUGCAGAAUUCAGUGAAUCAUCGAAUCUUUGAACGCACAUUGCGCCCGCCAGCAUUCUGGCGGGCAUGCCUGUUCGAGCGUCAUUUCAACCCUCAAGCUCUGCUUGGUGUUGGGGCCCUACAGUUGAUGUAGGCCCUCAAAGGUAGUGGCGGACCCUCCCGGAGCCUCCUUUGCGUAGUAACUUUACGUCUCGCACUGGGAUCCGGAGGGACUCUUGCCGUAAAACCCCCCAAUUUUCCAAAGGUGA
rnacentral:rRNA from 1 species